GCGAGACGAGUCUCACAUUACCUAAUACUUGCGCAUAUGAACCUGAUGAGAAUAUCAGGACUUAAAGACGUAAAAAAAUAUAAGAUCCAGAUGAUGUUAUAUAUAAGAUGUAAUAGAGCUAAAAACUUUUAACACGUGCUAAGAUUAGAGUAGCCUUAGAAUGAGUGACUCCUAAAAUGUAAGGCAUCACAUUUAUUACAUAAUAUAUAUAUAUAUAUAUAUUAGUAUUAUUUAGUGUUAUAUUUAAUUAUAAAAUACUGAUUUUUAAAUUAAAUUAGGGUGAUACAAAUUUUAAGUUUUACGUUUUAUAAAACUAAUCUAGAUUAAUAGAAAAUAAGAUUGGGUAAAUUGAUUUUAAAUCGCUGGAUUUUAAUAUGAUUUGAUCAAAAAAUUUCGGACGGUCUUAUCUAAAUCAGAUCAGUUUGAUGGUUGAAGCAACGGUUCGAACAAUUUUUAUUAAAAACAUUUGGAUGACUGUAUUAAAAUCGGAUUGUUUUGUUUUAACAUCUAAUUUUUAAAUUUAUUUGAUUGAAAUUAUUCGAUGGCCUUUCUAUUGCAAAAUUUUACUUCAAUACCUAAAAAUUUUAGAUUAAUUAAUUCAAAUCAAAUAAAUUAAAAAUUUUAUAAUAAAAUUAAAAUUUUUAAAAUUAAAUAAUCAGAGAAAAGUGAAUGAUAGUUAAAAUAAGCUGUAUGUAUUUUUUUAAUCUUUAAUUAAUUAAAUAUUGGUCAAAAUGAACGGAUAAUCCUCUCGAUAUAUUUAGAAUUAAUUUCAUACAGGUCCCUAUAAAUAUAGUAAAUUGCAUAUAUAUUCCUACGAAGCUCAAAUUCUAUAUGUUGUCCCUACAAAAGUCCUAAUAUUUUCAAAUAUAUCCUUAUGAUUUGUUACCGUUAAAAUAUUCUUUCUUUUAUAAUUAAAAUGACAUUUUUGUCAUCACAAAUAUGUACCUCUAAAAAGUCCAACUAUUAAUUAAAGAAGGGUAAAAAAGUUAAAUCACCUGAUUAACUAAUUAGGAUUAAGUAUUUUACCUAUGGUUGACAAAUUUUUUUUAACGUUAGGGACAUGUUUGAAAAUAUCAGGACUUUUACAUAGACAAUAUAUAAAAGUUAAACUUUAUAGGGAUAUGUUUGUAAUUUAUUAUGUUUGUAAGGACCUGUAUCAAAUUAACCCAUUUAAUUUUAUUA
rnacentral:lncRNA from 1 species